rnacentral:misc_RNA from 1 species
CUAUUGCAUGUUUUGCAACAUUAGUACAGCUGUUUUGAACUGUCAGAAGUUGUUGAACUGUAAAGAACUAAACCAUUAAAUAAACGUGGAAGGAAUUAAGUUUAAUAUUUGUAGGGUGUAUUGACUGCCUUUUUUACUAUCGUCACAUUAAAAUUAAAAUUAAUGUAACAGCUAGUACGUAACAUCAAUUGAAAGUGCAGCUAAUGUGAAUGACUCAGAUACAAACAAUUACAUGGAUUUAUAACGACUCUUCGUUUUUUAAAUAAUUGUUUAUCUAAAGAUAUCCUUAUAAGUAUUUAGUACGUUCUUAUUUCAAUUCAACAAAUGCUUGCUGAUAUGGCUAGUGUACCUUUAAGAAAGUAUAAGAAAGAGAAGAGUGAAGUAAGUGGCUGUUUAAAAUAUAUGAUUUUUGGAUUUAACGUUUUAUUUUGGUUGCUAGGUUUGGGAAUAUUAACUGUUGGUGUAUGGGCUUGGAGUGAAAAAGACAUUUUUAACAACCUUACAAAAGUUGCCAAUAUUGCUCUAGAUCCUGCAUUUAUUUUAAUGUGUAUAGGCACAAUAACAUUUAUUAUUGGUUUUACUGGCUGUGUGGGAGCAUUGAGAGAAAAUACUUGUUUACUGGCUGCUUAUGCCAUUUUCUUGUCAAUAUUGCUAUUACUAGAGAUGACCGUAGGCAUAUUAGGUUUUGUAUUCAAAGAUUGGAUAAAGUCUCAAGCAACUGCAGGGUUUCAGGCAUUCAUUAUUCACUAUAGAGAAGAUCCUGAUCAACAGAAUUUAAUUGACUGGAUUCAAGAAGAUUGGUUGCAGUGCUGUGGUAUAGAGGGUCCAAAAGAUUGGGAUAGAAAUAAUUAUUUUAACUGUUCUUCACGUGAAAUUGGCAGUCGUGAAGCCUGUGGUGUACCUUUUUCUUGUUGCAAACGGAAACCAAAUGAAAUUAUUAAGAACAAACAGUGUGGCUAUGACGUGCGAAAGCCUGGCUUUCCUGGAGAUCGUCACAUAUUUGAAAGGGGUUGUUUAAGAGCUGGGGAGGAAUGGAUAGAGGGGAAUUUAGUUCCCGUAGCAGGUGUAACUGUUGGAAUUAUGGUUCUCCAGGUAUAACUAACGAUUGCAUGGCCUUGUUACUUUUUGCUUGCUUAUCUCACAAAAUUUUGCAUGAUUACUGUGAGACAUUUUAUUUUCAAAUACUAACACAACAUGCGAUUAAAAGUAAUAUAAAAAAAGAAUUUUGAUUCCACAAAAAUUAUUAACGACAAGGGGUGUUUAGAAGCAGCAGAAGAGUGGGUACAGCGCAACAUGAUUUCAUUAAC